GUGUGUGUGUGUGUGUGUGUGUGUGUGUGUGUGUAUGUAUAUAUAUAUAUAUAUAUAAACACACACACACACACACACACACUG